UGGGUCAGUAGCACAGUGGAUAGUGCAACUGCCUUCUAAGCAGUCGGUCGCAGGUUCGAAUCCUGCCUGACCCGU
rnacentral:tRNA from 1 species